GUUGCCUACUCCCUGACUGCACACGUGGUGACGAAGAAAAGCAAAGAAAACGGAAGAUGGCGCCUCCAUGUUGAACAUGCCUGGCUCCCAGAUUUUGCUAGUAAAAGACAAAGAAGCAGAAGAAAAUAAUAAAGAGGAGUCAGUGUGAAACCUCUGCGGAAGUGUGGAGUAAGCAGCGUGAUGUGCAGAAGUAGCUUUUAACAUGACCAAAACUUGACUUAAAUGUAUUGCCCUCUUAAAUUUUGUAUGAUUACCUCCUAACUCAUUUUGUUGCCUAUCUGUGAGUACAAAAGCACUAUAGUUCUGCACUGACAAUAGGUAGUCUUUUCAAUUUUGGUCUUUCAAAUGAUUGGGUCAUGGCAUCUCAUUGUGGUUUUAAUUUGCAUUUCCCUGGUAACUAAUGAUAGUGAGUAUCGUUUUCUGUCCUUAUUUGACAUCUGUUUGUUUUCAUUGCUGAAGUGUCUGCAUAAUCCUUUUGUUUAUAUUUCAAUUAAAUUAUUUGUUUUAUUAUUUAGUUUUGAGAAUUCUUCAUAUAUUCUGGAUACAAGUCUUUUUACAGAUAUGGAAUGUGUAAAUAUUUCUUCAUGAUUGCCUAUCUUCAACAACAAGGUAUCACACUGAUUCAUUACACUGAUGACAUUAUGCUGAUUGUACCUAAUGAGCAAGAAUAGUGACUACUCUGGACUUAUUGGUUAGACAUUUGUGUAACAAAGGAUGGGAAAUUAAUCUGACAAAAAUCAGGAGACUUCUACCUUGGUAAAAUUUCCAGGGCUCCAGUGGUGUGAAACAUAUGAUGAUAUCCCUUUUCAAGUGAAAUCUGGCUCUUCCUACAAUCAAAUGAGAGAAACAUAUUCUACUGGGCCCUUUUGGAUUCUAGAAUUAACAUAUUGCCCUUUUGGUUGUAUUACUUUAUUCCACUUACCUAGUGACCUGAAAAGCUGUUAGUUUUGAAAACGGUACGAAAAAGGAAAGGCUCUAUAAUAGGUCUGGGCUGCUGUGGGAGAUGCUCUGCCUCUUGAGCCAUAUGAUCCCACAGAUCUAAUGGUACUGGAAGGGUGAGAGGCAUAAAGGGAUGCUGUCUGGAGAUGUUGACAUGCCUCUACUGAUGAAUCACAGCACAAGCCCUUUGAAUUUUGAAGCAAAACCUUGCCAUCCUUCAUAGAUAACUAUUUUUCUUUUGAGAAACAGCUCUUGUUCUGCUACUGGCUGGGCAUUAGUAGAGACUGAACACUUAACUAUGGACCACCAAUUUACUAUGUGACAUGAGCUGCAAAUCAUGAACGGAGUGUUUUCUGACCCAAUAAGCUGUAUGAUUUAGGAUACACAGCAACACUCUAACGUCAAAUAGCAGUGAUAUAUACAUGAUUGAGUCUAAGCAGGUUCUGAGGAUAAAAGUGUAUUAUUACAUAAAAAAUGGCCCAAAUGCACAUGGUCCCCACUUCUGCUACACUGCCUUUUCUCUCUUGGCUUGUACCAAUGGACUCCUGAGUUGUUCUCUGUGAGCAUUUGAAAGAGGAAGAGAAGACUGGAGCCUAGAUACAGACAUUUCUAUAGGAUAUGCAGACUCCCCAGAAAGUGCACAGCUGCAUCACUGGACACCCUUUCUAGGACAUGUCUGAAAGAGAGUGAUGAAGGGAAAUCCUCUCAGUGUGCAGAACUUAGAGUGGUGCACUUGGUCACUUACUUUUCUUGGAAGGAGAAAUAGUAAGACUUGUGAUUAUAUAUUGGCUUGUGGGAUGUGGCCAAUGGUUUGGUUGGAUGCUCAAGAACAUGGGAGAGGAAUAAUUGGAAAUUUGGUAACAAGGAAAUUUGGGAAAGAGGUAUGUGGAUAGACAUCUCUGAAUUGGCAAAAAAUGUAUAAAUAUUUGUAUGCUAUGUGAAUUUCAAUCAAAGGAUGACCCCAACAGAGAAGGACGGUAAUCAUAUGGAUAGAAUGAUGUAUUCUGUGGACAUCAGAAAUCCACUUUCUCCAUCCACCCCCAUUAACACUCAAUUGACUCAUGAACACAGUGGCCAUGGUGGCAGGAAUGGAGGAUAGACAAAGUCUCAGAAACAUGGACUUUCACUCACCAAGUUUGUACUGGACAUAGUCACUGCUGAGUGCCUAAUUUCCUAGCAAUGGAUAGCAACAGAGUCAUCAAUUUGUCACCAUUCACCAGGGUGAUCAGCCAGCUACCUGAUGCCAGGCUGAUUACAUUAGACCACUCCCAAAAAGGAAGAGUCAGUGUUUUGUUGUUACUAAAAAAGCUACUUGUGGCUGGGCAUGGUGGCUCAUGCCUGUAAUCCCAACACUUUGGGAGGCCGAGGGCAGUGGACUACCUGAGGUCGGGAGUUCAAGACCAGCCUGACCAACAUGGAGAAAUCCCGUCUCUACUAAAAAUACAAAAUUAGCCAGGCGUGGUGGCACAUGCCUGUAAUCUCAGUUAUGCAGGAGGCUGAGGCAGGAGAAUCGCUUGAACCCAGUAGGCGGAGGUUGCAGUGAGCCAAGAUCACGCCAUUGCACUCCAGCCUAGGCAACAAGAGUGAAACUCUGUCUCAAAAAAAAAAAAAAAAAAUAGCUACUUGCUUUGGAUACACAUUUGCCUCCCAUACACCAAUGCUUUUGUCAAAACUACUGCCCUUGGACUUACAGAGUACUUACACACCUCAUGGUAUUUCACAUAGCAUUGCUUUUGAUCAAGGAACUCACUUCACAGCAAAAGAGGUGAAACACUGAACCCAUUCUCCUGGAAUACACUAGGCCUGCCAUGUUCUCUACUAUCCCAAAGCCACUAAUUUGAUGAAAAAGUAAAUGGCUUUUUGAAGACCCAGUAACAGCAUGGUAUUGUCACAUCAGAGAUGUGGCAGUACCUGUUAGGGCUGGGACAAAGUUUUCCAAAACACUACAUGCUCUGAAUUAGAAUCCUAUAUAUGGCACUGUUUCUGUCAUAGGAUGCUUGGGCCCAGGAAAGGAACUGGUGAAAAUAAGAGUGGGCCACUCACUAUUAGCCCUAAUGAUCUUGUUAGCAAAAUUUUUGCUUCUGGUCCCCUGACGUUAUUUUUCUCCUGGCCUAGAGGUCUUAGUUCCAGAGGAAGGAAUGUUCCACUAGGAGACAGAACAACGAUUCCACCAAAGUGAAAGUUCAUACCACCACCUGGCCACUUUAGGUUCAUCAUUUCUCUGAAUUCCCUAGCAAAAAAAGAAGUAACUGUGCUGGCUUGGGUGGUUGAGAUUUGGGUCACUAUACCAGGUGAAGAACCAUGUCCAACUGAAGUGCUUACUAAAAGCAAUUAGAAUAAAGUAUGGGCAAUGGAAGAAGGUUAUAUAUACCAGCUUUGACCACAUGAACAGUUACAGAAAUAAAGAAUGUAAUUGGCACGAGUAUUUUCUGUUUGUUUUGAACGCAUUUGUGUUUGCGUGUGUGUAUAGUAAAAGUCCUUGUUUUCUUUCUUCGAUUAUUUCAUCAUGUAACAUAAGAUGUAUUGACUUUAUAUCACAGUUUUUAACUAUUGUUAAUUUUGGAUCAUAAUAUUUUAUUUCCCAGAUAUUAAAGGAAAGAGUAAAUAUUAACAAAGAUCUUUACCUCCAAUCCUGUGGAAGAUGCAUUGACAAGUGGUGGGCAGGGGAUGAUUUUAUGCGUCAGCUUGACAAAGCCAGAGAUGCCCAGAUAUCUGGUUAAACCUUAUUUCUGGGUGUGUCUGUGAGGGUAUUUCUAGCAGAUACUUGCAUUUGAAUUGGUGGACUGAGUAAAGCAGAUGGCUCUCCUCAGUGUGGGAGGGCAUCAGUCAAUUUAUUUAGGGCCUGAGUGGCAUAAAAAGACAGGGGCAGGUCAAAUUUGCUCUCUGGCUGACUGAGCUGGCACAUUGAUUUUCUCCUGCCCUCAGCACUCCUGGUUCUCAGAUCUUCAGACUUGGAGUAUAGCUUAUAACAGAUGUAUAUUUUAACUCUUUCCUAACAUCUCUUGAAAUGACAAAAAUGACAAAAAAUAUUAUAUCUAUAAAGAAAUAAUUUGUGUCGGGAAGACAUAAAAUAGUUGGAAUUAUAUUCAAGGACAAACCAGAGAACAAGUACGUGUAGACUAGACAUAUACAAGAAAAAGGCUUCAGAAGAAGUCUGAGUUUCUGAGAGGAUCUCUUUCAUACUCAUCCAACAUGAAGUAUGACUUAACCUGCUACACACGUUGCCACAUGCUCAAAGCUUGAUGUCCACCUUUUCAUUGAAGAAAAAGGCCAAUCAGGGAAGUAGACCUUUAAAAUGGCAAAAAAAAAAAAAAAAAAAAAAAAAAAAAUGGACAUCAGAUGCUCACAUUACCAAUCCAAUCUUUGGGUUAUAACAAUGAACAAACCACCAAAAAGACAGAUAAUUCACAGGAAACCAUCAGUACAUUGAAAAUAUUACAUAGCAAUAAAAAUUUUUAGAAAAGCUACAGACACAUGUAAUAACAUGGAUUCUCUAAGGGAAGG
rnacentral:lncRNA from 1 species